GAUGAACGCUAGCGGCAGGCCUAACACAUGCAAGUCGAGGGGUAGCACAGAAACAGCAAUGUUUUGGUGGCGACCGGCGGACGGGUGCGUAACGCGUAUGCAACCUACCUUUAACAGGGGGAUAACGGAGAGAAAUUUCCACUAAUACCCCAUAACAUCGAUCAAGGCAUCUUGAUUGGUUGAAAACUCCGGUGGUUAAAGAUGGGCAUGCGUUGUAUUAGGUAGUUGGUGAGGUAAUGGCUCACCAAGCCUACGAUACAUAGGGGGACUGAGAGGUUAGCCCCCCCACACUGGUACUGAGACACGGACCAGACUCCUACGGGAGGCAGCAGUGAGGAAUAUUGGUCAAUGGGGGCAACCCUGAACCAGCCAUGCCGCGUGCAGGAAGACGGCUCUAUGAGUUGUAAACUGCUUUUAAACAGGGAUAAAGCACAGUAUGUAUACUGUGUUGAAGGUACUGUAAGAAUAAGGAUCGGCUAACUCCGUGCCAGCCGCCGCGGUAA
rnacentral:rRNA from 1 species